GAGUCUAAAGAAAAUAGCAAUAAACUCAUAAUUAACUUUAAAUAAUAAUAACUAGUAAAAAGGCUUAAAGGAAUAUAUAGCCACUGUUAUGCCAGUUAGGAAAUUCAUAUGAACUGAGCUUUUCACAAAAAUAUUACUACAGUUUCUACUUUCUCACAGGUUAUGCAUAUAAUAAACACAUCUGAGCAGUUAAGGAAACCUGAAUAGUCUUAACACUUAUUGAAUACAUAUCAUACUAUUCCAAAUUAUUAAAAUGACUUUUUUAACCUUGAAAAUACCAUAUUAGGAUUACAAUGUUCAAUUUGUAACCAUAAAGGACUUUUUACAGCUUUUAGCAAUUCAAAACUCAGAGAUUAUUGAUACCCACACUUAAUAAUUUCUCAAUUAUUAGCACUAUAGAAAAAGACAUUUUAUUUCAGUAUAGCCUCCACUGUAAUAAUUUUGUCUCUUAAUUUUCUAUAAGUUACCAUCUUUGUUAGAAAGAGAUAAAAUAUUCAACAAUCCUUUUGACACUGGCUUACACAGAGUAAUGGACCUGUCUUGCGGAGCUUUCCUGUUUUGACUAAGUGACCUUCUUUUGCUCAUUUAUACAAAUUCAAUGACCAAGACUUCAUAUUUCAAUCUUUUUAUGUAAUUACAUUUUACCUUUCUAUAUACAUAUGUAAAAUACGGAUAUACUCGGUUCGUAAUGACCACCAACUUCACAAAUGAAUCUGGUAUUGUAUCAAUAGAAACAUAGACACAAUAAAACUAAAAUCACUAAAGAAUAAUAUGAGAAACAUCCUUUCACAUACAUGUAACACAUAUACUUUAAUUUUUUCAUCAACAGAAAAAACACCUUGGAUCUGCCUAUUCCUAAAUUCUAAUUCAAUGAACAAUGAGGACAUUUUAAUAAAAAGCUUGGACUCAGUGGAAAAAAUAAAGGCUGGACUCGAACUCCUGAGCUCAAGCAAGCCUCCUGCCUCAGCCUCCCAAGUAGCUGGGACUCCAGGUGCUCACCACGACACACAGCUCAAUUACAUCAGGUUUUAUAACUACUUAAGUAAAACUUACAUUUUCAAUGUUCUUAAUGUUUAUUCCCUUAGUUUAAUCAAUACUUUUUAAAAAAAUCUUGUAAUACUUUUUCAAAUCAUGAAAAGAGUGGGUUUUGUUAACCUAUACAAGGAGUUUGCAAACUACAGCUUGUGUGCCAAAUCUGGCCUGCUGCUUAUUUUUGUAAAUAAAGUUUUCAUGGAACACA